UUAAGUACAACAAUUUUGAAGAAAGAAAAUGGAGGUUGUUACAUUUCGAAUUCACUCAACCAUACCAAAUUUAAAGGCCUUCACUGGUAAUCAAAAUGACUAUUCUCCUUUUGAGGCAACUCUUUCUGCCUAUCUUGGCUACUUCUGUUUAUUUAAAGGCAACACUCCAUUGUUAAACUUCUAUAAAAGUUUAUUCUUGGUUCAUCGAGGUGGUUGGGGAGGGUUGUUCCAAGCUUUUAUAUCCAAUGUAAAACCUUAUCCUACUCUUUUGUAUUCCAAUAAAUUCAAGAUGCAAUAUGUGAAGCUUUGGAAGGUCAGAAGUGAGUGUAAUUAUGUUCCAUUAAUUUUAUUUUACUUAUCAUUGUAUACCUUUGACUUGAUUUGCCAUGUACCAAUAGUUACCAAAGCUAUUUAAAAGUUAUUAUAAAUAAAAAUUAUUUUAAUUAGUAAUAUUCUUGUUAAAAAUGAUUUAAAAAAAAUCAUUNNNNNNNNNNNNNNNNNNNNNNNNNNNNNNNNNNNNNNNNNNNNNNNNNNNNNNNNNNNNNNNNNNNNNNNNNNNNNNNNNNNNNNNNNNNNNNNNNNNNAAAAAUCAUUUGUAUUUUACAAUAUUUUUAAAAAGUUUUUUUAAUAUAAAAAUUAUUUUUUAAGGUUGAAAAAUUUUUAAAAAUCAUUUAUAAGACUUUUUAGAAAAACGUUUGAUAUGUGGUUAUCUUAAAAUUAAUUGUGGAGAAAAUAUUUUAUUAAAAACCCUUUAAAUAAAAACCAAUAGGAUAAAAUUGUUGACCGGACCCUUUUCCGGUGUGGUUUUCACUUUUAGCCCGCUCCCAUGUCAAACCGGAUCCCACUCUCAUAUCAAACCGGAAUUGAACCGCUCCGGAUCAAACCGUAAUUUUACCCACAAUGUGCAUCUCCAGCAUCAGCCAGGAUUGCAUCUGUGAACAGAAGGAACAAAGGCCACUGGGCUAUCUAUAAACUUUGUAAAAAUUAAUGCACAUAAAUAUAUACUAUAAUUUUGGUAUUUUUUUUGAGUUUCAUUAAUUUAAACUCUUAAUUAAACAUAAACAUUAAGUGCACAUUUAUUUUUUAAGAUAAGUUAUGAAAAGAAUAUAAAUUAAAUAAUAUAAUAAUUUUUAAAAUAAUAAAAUAAUAAAAUAUAUAAUUUUUCACAUGUAAAAUUCUUUUCAUCCUAACUAUAUCUUCACAUUUAAAUAUUAUAAAUAUUUUAUUAAAUAAAAUUUAAAAUAUUAAUUCAUUUAUAUUUAUCCUUAUAAUCAUUUAAUUUGAUAUUAAUAUUAUUAAAAUUUUGAAUUAUAUAUAUAUAUAUUUAAUUUUUUAUAAAUACUUUUACUUUAUAUAAUAUAUAAAUUAUAUAUUUAUGAUGUCAUAUGUUUGAUCAUGAUUUAAUCAUUGCUUCAAUUAGUAAACCGUGAAUAGACAAUUUAGCAAUUCAUUGGUUUGAUUAUGAAAACAUUGAAAAAAACAUCGGGUAAGAUAUUAUCCAAAUGUCAGUGCUUUGAUUAUUAGAUUUUUGAAGUGGUGAUCAAGUGAUUAUCCAAAUGUCAGUGCUGCCUCCACAUCUUGAUUUGUAGUUAAUGGAAGUUAAUGCACAUGUAAUGAUAUAAUUUUAGAAAAACAUACGAUAAGAAAUGUUUCAGUCCACAUCAAGUGGGAAUCCUUUUCAUCAUCAUGGGAAACAAAAGAAAGUGGAAUCUUUUUCAUUAUUACUUCUUGUUUUUUCAACACUUGUUCAAGAGAAGGGUAGACUGCAUUUUAGAAAAACAUACGAUAAGAAAUGUUGCAGUCCACAUCAAGUGGGAAUCCUUUUCAUCAUAAUGGGAAGCAAAAGAAAGUGGAAUCUUUUUCAUUAUUACUUCUUGUUUUUUCAACACUUGUUCAAGAGAAGGGUAGACUGCAUUUGGCAUAUUUUGGGCAUCAAACUAAUUUAAUCAUUGUACAAAACCCCAUUAAAACCCACAAAAUUUUAGCUUCAUCAUUCCAAGAAAACCCAAAUGAGAAUGGAAGGCUCCAUUUUGAAAACCAUGGCAUACUCUUUUGCCAUAUUGACUGUCUAUACUCUUUUGAGAGUUGUUUACAGCAUCUGGUGGAGACCCAAAAGCCUGGAGAAGCAGCUGAGGCGGCAAGGCAUCAGAGGUACUCAUUACAAGCUUUUGUUUGGAGACGCGAAAGCUAUGAAGCAGUCAUUCAUGGAGGCACGCUCCAAACCCAUGGCUUUGAACCAUUCUAUUGUUCCUCGUGUCAUUCCAUUCUACCAUGAAAUGGCUCAAAAAUAUGGUAAGCCGAUUAUUAUAUUGUUACUGGUUUAUUGCCUCUUCUUAUGUGGAUCUGAUGACAUAGAAUUGGAAAAACAGGGAAAGUUUCAGUGAGUUGGCACUUUACAACGCCAAGGGUGCUGAUAGUGGAGCCAGAGCUGAUGAGGAUGAUAUUAAAAUACAAGAAUGGUCACUUGCACAGGCUGCCGGGAAACCCUCUUGGGUAUCAUCUGUCACGCGGACUAUUAUCCUUGGAAGGUGAGAAAUGGGCCAAAAGGAGAAAGUUACUCUCACCAGCUUUCCACCUUGAGAAGUUGAAGGUGAUUAAUCUAACCCACUAACUUUCCGCUCUUAACAGCGAGAAAAUUCUUUACAGUGAUAGAGGCUAUCGUUCAAAGAGUAACUAAAGAGUGGCACACUUCCAUCGUUAAGAAGCGCUUUUAGAGAAAAAUAUGCAUCGGGUUUGUCAAAAUUUACAAAACACCUAAAAAAUACUUUAACUAAAUACUAGCUCCCAAAUAUUCUUAAUAAAGUUGAACAAAAGUACCAUUCGCAACAUAAUAGAGUGAUUCAUACCCCAUUGAUUUAUAUUUCUUUUUGUUGUAAUAAUUAAUAUAUGAAGAAAAACUAUUAGAAAUAUUUAUGAGUAUUAUAGGUCAUGAAAAAAAAAAUUUAUAAGCUUAUGAAAAUUAUAUGUGAUGGCUAGAGAUGGGAGGAGUGAAAGAUACUCGGUGGAGGACGAGGGUUCAUGGACUCGUAAUUCAAAGUAUAAAUACAAAGAGUUGAAAAACGUGAGAUGUUCAAUUAUUGACCUGUAAUAUUUUUUAUGGUAUGGUAGAAUGUACUCUUUUAUUCAUGGAUGUAGGUAUGGUUUGUCGGUUUUAAAAUCUUGUCGACUUUUUGUAAGGAUUAUUUGAUCUUUGUGCUUGUGCAUCAGCAUAUUUAUAUUGAAACUUCACAACAUAAUUUUCAUGGCAAAGCCCAAAGAGGGCCUUAGGUUAUGAAGUACUAAUGGGUAGUGAAAAACAGGGUAUGAUGCCAGCAUUUUCAACAAGUUGUCACGAUUUGAUAGAACGGUGGAAGAACUUGGUUGGUCCUCAAGGAACAUAUGAACUAGAUGUAAUGCCUGAAUUUCAGAACCUUACUGGGGAUGUUAUUUCUCGAACAGCCUUUGGAAGCAGCUAUGAAGAAGGAAGGAGAGUGUUUGAACUUCAGAAGGAGCAAAUUGUGCUAGUCAUGGAAGAUUUUCGAAACUUUUACAUACCUGGUUUCAGGUGCAAAGCAUUAUAAACUUUAGAGUGUCUACUGUAAUUUCUUAGCUUAAAUAUUUCUUGUUCUGAACGAAUUAUUCCAUCUGAUUGUAGAUUUGUGCCCACUAGGAAGAACAAGAGGAGAUAUUAUAUGGACAGUGAGAUCAAAGCGAUGAUAAAAAAAAUAAUUCUCAAGAAGAAGCAGACCCUGAAGAAUGGAGAUCCAGGCAAUGAUGAUCUACUAGGUUUACUGCUGCAAUGUCAGGAACAAACUGAUAGUGAGAUGACGAUUGAUGAUGUGGUAGAGGAAUGCAAGUUGUUCUACUUUGUUGGCCAAGAGACCACUGCUAACUGGCUAACAUGGACAACUCUCCUCUUAUCUAUGCAUCCCAACUGGCAAGAGAAGGCAAGAGCAGAGGUUUUACAGAUAUGUGGGAAGAAAAUGCCUGAUAUUGAAGCCAUAAGCAACCUCAAAAUUGUUAGUACUUUUCUUCCACUUUACUUGAACUUGCAUUACAAGUAGUUUUCUUACGUAUAACUCAUUUGCAGGUGUCCAUGAUACUACAUGAAGUCCUAAGGCUGUAUCCACCUGUGAUUAUGCAGUUCAGGCAUACUGGUGAAAGAAUCAAUAUAGCAGGUAUGUGUAUCCCAGCUGGGGUCGACCUUGUGUUGCCAACUGCGCUUCUUCAUCACAGUCCUGAGUACUGGGGAGAUGAUGUUGAGGAAUUUAAACCAGAGAGAUUCUCUGAAGGAGUUUCAAAGGCAUCAAAGGGUGAUCAGACUGCAUUCUAUCCAUUUGGGUGGGGGCACAGGAUCUGCUUGGGUCAAGGUUUGGCAAUGAUAGAAGCAAAGAUGGCUCUAGCUAUGAUUCUGCAACACUUUUGGUUUGAGCUUUCACCCACUUAUACUCAUGCUCCUCAUCGUAUUAUUACUCUUCAACCUCAAUAUGGAGCUCCAAUUAUACUGCACCAAAUCUAAGUUACUACUUGGAUGUCAAUCUCUUCUUGUCCAAAGACAAGUUCUAUAUCCUAUGUUAUCUAAUUUAAGGAAAUGAGACUUCAGACAUUUUAGCAUCUUUUUGAUGAGUUCCUCUUAAGAAAAGCUCAAUGGUAUCAUAAAGAACUUCACAAAUUAAGUACAACAAUUUUGAAGAAAGAAAACAGAGAUUGCUACAUUUCAUCCAUUUAAAGGAAUCAAAGAUCUUCACUAGUAAUCAAAUGACUCAUCUCCUUUUGACGCAACUCUUUCCACUUAUCUUGGCUACACUCUCCAUCUCCAUUACCUUUGUUUAUUUGAAACCAACGCUCCAUUACUGUUGAACUUCUAUGAAGGUUUUUUCUUGGUUAACAGAGGCAGUUGGGGAGGGGGUUGUUCAAUGCUUUUAUAUCUAUUAAAAACUUAUCCUACUCUCUUGUAUUUCAAUUAAUUCAAAGAUGCAAUGUGUGAAGCUUUGGACGGUCAGGGGUAAUUAUUUGGUUGCGGAGAAAGUUUUCUUAAAUUCUAUAGGGCUUGUUCUUUUUCUAGAUUUCAUCAUUUUUUUACUUAGAUUUUAUCUUCAAUUUAUUUUCUAUUUUCUAUUUUUCAGUCUUCUAAUUUUGAGAUUUUCCCAUAAUUAUUGGGUUUAGAGAAUUGUUCAAUAUCAAGGGUUUUUCUUUUUCCCUUUUCUUUGAUGUGCUCACGGGUCUUCAAUGUCUAUUUUUCUUUGU
rnacentral:lncRNA from 1 species